rnacentral:rRNA from 1 species
UACGUAGGGGGCAAGCGUUGUCCGGAAUUAUUGGGCGUAAAGCGCGCGCAGGCGGUCCUUUAAGCCUGAUGUGAAAGCCCACGGCUUAACCGUGGAGGGUCAUUGGAAACUGGAGGACUUGAGUACAGAAGAGGAGAGUGGAAUUCCACGUGUAGCGGUGAAAUGCGUAGAGAUGUGGAGGAACACCAGUGGCGAAGGCGACUCUCUGGUCUGUAACUGACGCUGAGGUGCGAAAGCGUGGGUAGCGAACAGGAUUAGAUACCCUGGUA